UACAAGCCAAAUUAAGGUGAAACCGCGAAAGGCUCAUUAAAUCAGUUAUGGUUCCUUAGAUCGUACACACAUUUACUUGGAUAACUGUGGUAAUUCUAGAGCUAAUACAUGCAAACAGAGUUCCGACCGGAGACGGAAGGAGCGCUUUUAUUAGAUCAAAACCAAUCGGUGGCGGGCUUGCUCGUCAUCGUAAUACUUGGUGACUCUGAAUAACUUUACGCUGAUCGCACGGUCUCGCACCGGCGACGCAUCUUUCAAAUGUCUGCCUUAUCAACUGUCGAUGGUAGGUUCUGCGCCUACCAUGGUUGUAACGGGUAACGGGGAAUCAGGGUUCGAUUCCGGAGAGGGAGCCUGAGAAACGGCUACCACAUCCAAGGAAGGCAGCAGGCGCGCAAAUUACCCACUCCCGGCACGGGGAGGUAGUGACGAAAAAUAACGAUACGGGACUCAUCCGAGGCCCCGUAAUCGGAAUGAGUACACUCUAAACCCUUUAACGAGGAUCAAUUGGAGGGCAAGUCUGGUGCCAGCAGCCGCGGUAAUUCCAGCUCCAAUAGCGUAUAUUAAAGUUGUUGCGGUU
rnacentral:rRNA from 1 species